GAUGAACGCUAGCGGCAGGCUUAACACAUGCAAGUCGAGGGGCAGCAUAGGUACUCGUACCUGAUCGGCGACCGGCAUACGGGUGCGUAACGCGUAUACAAUUUACCUUAUACAGGAGGAUAGCCCGAAGAAAUUUGGAUUAAUACUCCAUAAUAUUCAUUUAUUGCAUGAUAGAUGGAUUAAAGAUUUAUUUCGGUAUAAGAUGAGUAUGCGUCCUAUUAGUUAGUAGGUGAGGUAACGGCUCACCUAGACUGUGAUAGGUAGGGGUCCUGAGAGGGAGAUCCCCCACACUGGUACUGAGACACGGACCAGACUCCUACGGGAGGCAGCAGUGAGGAAUAUUGGACAAUGGAGGCAACUCUGAUCCAGCCAUGCCGCGUGCAGGAAGACGGCCCUAUGGGUUGUAAACUGCUUUUAUUGGGGAAGAAACCCACCGACGAGUUUGGUGGCUGCCGGUACCCGAUGAAUAAGCACCGGCUAACUCCGUGCCAGCAGCCGCGGUAAUACGGAGGGUGCAAGCGUUAUCCGGAAUCAUUGGGUUUAAAGGGUCCGCAGGCGGGUAAUUAAGUCAGGGGUGAAAUCUCACAGCUCAACUGUGAAACUGCCUUUGAUACUGGUUACCUUGAGUUUUAGUGAAGUAGAUAGAAUAUGUAGUGUAGCGGUGAAAUGCAUAGAUAUUACAUAGAAUACCGAUUGCGAAGGCAGUCUGCUAACUAAUAACUGACGCUCAUGGACGAAAGCGUGGGGAGCGAACAGGAUUAGAUACCCUGGUAGUCCACGCCGUAAACGAUGGAUACUAGUUGUUGGGGUUAAUCUUCAGUGACUAAGCGAAAGUGAUAAGUAUCCCACCUGGGGAGUACGUUCGCAAGAAUGAAACUCAAAGGAAUUGACGGGGGCCCGCACAAGCGGUGGAGCAUGUGGUUUAAUUCGAUGAUACGCGAGGAACCUUACCAGGGCUUAAAUGUAAGUUGCAUGAGGUAGAGAUACUUCUUUCUUUUAGACUACUUACAAGGUGCUGCAUGGUUGUCGUCAGCUCGUGCCGUGAGGUGUCAGGUUAAGUCCUAUAACGAGCGCAACCCUUAUCGUUAGUUGCUAACAGGUUAAGCUGAGGACUCUAGCGAGACUGCCGGUGCAAACCGAGAGGAAGGUGGGGAUGACGUCAAAUCAUCACGGCCCUUACGUCCUGGGCUACACACGUGCUACAAUGGUAGGGACAAAGAGCAGCCAACUUGUGAGAGUGAGCGAAUCUAUAAACCCUAUCGCAGUUCGGAUCGGAGUCUGCAACUCGACUCCGUGAAAGCUGGAAUCGCUAGUAAUCGCAUAUCAGCCAUGAUGCGGUGAAAUACGUUUCCCGGGCCU
rnacentral:rRNA from 1 species